CGCUUUACUUGAUAACAGGGCUGAGAGAGAGAAAGGGAGAAAAAAAAGUUACCCAGUGUACGCUUGCUCGUCUCAUCCGGACGUUCAAAUUGCCGCUGUUUACGACUUUGUGUAAGUUUAACAGUGGCCGCUCUAAAUAUGCACCUCGUAAGCGCGCAAAAAUACUUCUGCCAGAGCUAAACUGCACCCGUGAUUGUUUCCUGGAGCAAUUUUCGUGCGUUCGUGUACGCAAUAAGUGAGCAACGUGCCCAAGGAAACGAACGCUUGGCGUAGGACCAUCGACCAAGUUCAAGCGAAGCCACUAGAUUGAAGCGACAAGGAUUAUGACGAAAGCGGUUCAGUUGAACCAGUCGUGCUUCAAAAGGGCCAAUGAGUUCUACAUCACAGAUGUCAGCAGAUCUGAGGAGGAAGCUAUCUGAAUGACGACAGAGUGCUGUGCACAGUACGAGCCACUGACCACUGCUUGCAUAAAGUGGAGAGGGAUUUCCGACACAACUGUCAACGUCCGACGGAUGCUCUUGCGGUGUAUCUCAUAAAACUACAGAAGAACUAGGCCAGUAAUUCGCCAAAGAAUUUCGGUGUCGUCGUCAAUAGUCAGCUUUCACUGGUCACAGUGAUCAGUGAUCAAUAAAACGUCGUCAUGG